GUACCAUGUCAGCUGUUUCACAACUGCAUUGUGUCACUCAGUCAUUGUGAAAUCAGAGGAUUCUUUCUGUGCCCUUUGCCUGGUGAAUUUGCUGUCAGGAAAUGUCACAGAACAGACCACUCCAAGAAGGCUCACUGGUUCUUCUAGAAUAAGGCGGAAUUUAUAAUGAAGCUUCCUUGUUUGUGUCAUGGGAAAUGUCAUCUGAAAUCACCCAGCAAGAAUGAUCUAGAACUCAUCAAGCCAUUUCCUUGACAUCAAAGAGGGAACUAAAAUGUGAAUUCAAGCCUUAAGCUCUUUUUUUCCUUUCAUAUGAGUAUGGAUAUGCAUUGGUCUCCUCAGCUAGCAUCGCUUCAAGUCAACUCCUUUUCUACCACGUCACUGCAUCUUAGGCUCUUUCACCAGAAAACAGGUCAAUGCAUUGAGUCUGUCUUGAAAACUCAUCACCUUCUCAUGGAAGAAGAAUUCACAUGCAUUGAAUAUUGUCUUCUCCAUGAUUACAGGUUAAAGAAGAAUCCAUCAUCUUAACAAAUAGACAAAAUUAAUUCUUGUCUGCAUCCUGACACUAGCAUAGGUUUGAUAUUUUGGGUAAGAAUCACU
rnacentral:lncRNA from 1 species